rnacentral:rRNA from 1 species
UAGCGGAAGUUUUCGGAUGGAAGUUAAAUUGACUGAGUGGCGGACGGGUGAGUAACGCGUGGGUAACCUGCCUCACACUGGGGGACAACAGUUAGAAAUGACUGCUAAUACCGCAUAAGCGCACAGGACCGCAUGGUCCGGUGUGAAAAACUCCGGUGGUGUGAGAUGGACCCGCGUUUGAUUAGCUAGUUGGUGGGGUAACGGCCUACCAAGGCGACGAUCAAUAGCCGACCUGAGAGGGUGACCGGCCACAUUGGGACUGAGACACGGCCCAAACUCCUACGGGAGGCAGCAGUGGGGAAUAUUGCACAAUGGGGGAAACCCUGAUGCAGCGACGCCGCGUGAGUGAAGAAGUAUUUCGGUAUGUAAAGCUCUAUCAGCAGGGAAGAAAAUGACGGUACCUGACUAAGAAGCCCCGGCUAACUACGUGCCAGCAGCCGCGGUAAUACGUAGGGGGCAAGCGUUAUCCGGAUUUACUGGGUGUAAAGGGAGCGUAGACGGUAAAGCAAGUCUGAAGUGAAAGCCCGGGGCUCAACCCCGGGACUGCUUUGGAAACUGUUUAACUAGAGUGCUGGAGAGGUAAGCGGAAUUCCUAGUGUAGCGGUGAAAUGCGUAGAUAUUAGGAGGAACACCAGUGGCGAAGGCGGCUUACUGGACUGUAACUGACACUGAGGCUCGAAAGCGUGNGGAGCAAACAGGAUUAGAUACCCUGGUAGUNCACGCCGU